GGCGGCACGCCUAACACAUGCAAGUCGAACGAAGUAGCAAUACUUAGUGGCAGACGGGUGAGUAACAUGUAGGUAUCUGCCCUUUGGCCUGGAAUAACACGAGGAAACUUGUGCUAAUACCGGAUAAGUCUUUACGGAGAAAGCUUUAUGCACCAUUGGAUGAGCCUGCACUUGAUUAGUUUGUUGGUGGGGUAAUGGCCUACCAAGACUGUGAUCAAUAGCUGAUUUGAGAGGAUGAUCAGCCACAUUGGGACUGAGACACGGCCCAAACUCCUACGGGAGGCAGCAGUGGGGAAUCUUGCACAAUGGAGGAAACUCUGAUGCAGCGAUGCCGCGUGAGUGAAGAAGGCCUUUGGGUUGUAAAGCUCUUUCGUCGGGGAAGAAAAUGACUGUACCCGAAUAAGAAGGUCCGGCUAACUUCGUGCCAGCAGCCGCGGUAAUACGAAGGGACCUAGCGUAGUUCGGAAUUACUGGGCUUAAAGAGUUCGUAGGUGGUUGAAAAAGUUAGUGGUGAAAUCCCAGAGCUUAACUCUGGAACUGCCAUUAAAACUUUUCAGCUAGAGUAUGAUAGAGGAAAGCAGAAUUUCUAGUGUAGAGGUGAAAUUCGUAGAUAUUAGAAAGAAUACCAAUUGCGAAGGCAGCUUUCUGGAUCAUUACUGACACUGAGGAACGAAAGCAUGGGUAGCGAAGAGGAUUAGAU
rnacentral:rRNA from 1 species